UACUGAGUGCUUACUAUAUGCCAGGCACUGU
rnacentral:piRNA from 2 species